rnacentral:rRNA from 1 species
UGUUUGUUUUUUUUGAGCGUUCGGUGGAUGCCUUGGCAUCAGGGGCCGAUGAAGGACGUGGUGGCCUGCGAUAUUCCUCGGGGAGCCGGCUGGCGGGCUGUGAUCCGAGGGUUUCCGAAUGGGGGGACCCGGCACGAGUUAUGUCGUGUCACCUGCAUCUGAAUUGUAUAGGGUGUGGGGGGUGACGCGGGGAAGUGAAACAUCUCAGUACCCGUAGGAGAAGAUAUUCCGUGAGUAGUGGCGAGCGAAAGCGGAUGAUGGUUAAACCGUGUGCGUGUGAUACUCGGCAGGGGUUGCGUGUGCGGGGUUGUGGGGCUGUUCUGUUCCUCUUCUGCCGGAGAGGGGGCGCGUGUGCUGGCUGGUAGCUGAAUCGUCUGGGAAGGCGUGGCGUAGUGGGUGAUACCCCCGUAGGCGGAACUGGUUGGUGCGUGUCUGGGAUGGUGCCCGAGUAGCACGGGGCUCGUGGAAUCCUGUGUGAAUCUGCCAAGACCACUUGGCUGCCUGAAUACCUCCUGAUGACCGAUAGUGGAUAGUACCGUGAGGGAAUGGUGAAAAGUACCCCGGGAGGGGAGUGAAAUAGUACCUGAAACCGGGCGCU